rnacentral:rRNA from 1 species
GAUGAACGCUGGCGGCGUGCCUAAUACAUGCAAGUCGAGCGAACAGACGAGGAUCUUGCUCCUCUGACGUUAGCGGCGGACGUGUGAGUAACACGUGUAUAACCUACCUAUAAGACUGGGAUAACUUCGGGAAACCGGAGCUUAUACCGGAUAAUAUAUUGCACCGCAUGGUUCAAUAGUGAAAUACGGUUUUUCUGUCACGUAUAGAUGGAUCCGCGCCGCAUUAGCUAGUUGGUAAGGUAACGGCUUACCAAGGCGACGAUGCGUAGCCGACCUGAGAGGGUGAUAGGCCACACUGGAACUGAGACACGGUCCAGAGUACUACGGGAGGCAGCAGUAGGGAAUCUUCCGCAAUGGGCGAAAGCAUGACGGAGCAACGCCGCGUGAGUGAUGAAGGUCUUCGGAUCGUAAAACUCUGUUAUUAGGGAAGAACAAAUGUGUAAGUAACUAUGCACGUAUUGACGGUACCUAAUCAGAAAGCCACGGCUAACUACGUG